rnacentral:rRNA from 1 species
ACCUCGACACCUACGGGAGGCAGCAGUGGGGAAUAUUGCACAAUGGGGGAAACCCUGAUGCAGCAACGCCGCGUGAAGGAAGACGGUUUUCGGAUUGUAAACUUCUGUUCUUAGUGAAGAUAGUGACGGUAGCUAAGGAGCAAGCCACGGCUAACUACGUGCCACAGCCGCGGUAAUCUGAGCGGGCUGGCAAGGC